CUACCUUAGCUGGACCUCGUCUCCCAGGGAUUAGAGAAAAGAGCAGGAGUCCUGGGUCUUCCCAGUUGAGACUGCUGGAGCUGAGACACAGUACUCUCUUAAAGAAGGUGCAGGGCGCCGCGCACUUCGGGCCGGUGUGGCUAGCCAGCUUUGGGACAGUGCGCACCGUGUACGUGGCUGCCCCUGCACUCGUCGAGGAGCUGCUGCGACAGGAGGGACCCCGGCCCGAGCGCUGCAGCUUCUCGCCCUGGACGGAGCACCGCCGCUGCCGCCAGCGGGCUUGCGGACUGCUCACUGCGGAAGGCGAAGAAUGGCAAAGGCUCCGCAGUCUCCUGGCCCCGCUCCUCCUCCGGCCUCAAGCGGCCGCCCGCUACGCCGGAACCCUGAACAACGUAGUCUGCGACCUUGUGCGGCGUCUGAGGCGCCAGCGGGGACGUGGCACGGGGCCGCCCGCCCUGGUUCGGGACGUGGCGGGGGAAUUUUACAAGUUCGGACUGGAAGGCAUCGCCGCGGUUCUGCUCGGCUCGCGCUUGGGCUGCCUGGAGGCUCAAGUGCCACCCGACACGGAGACCUUCAUCCGCGCUGUGGGCUCGGUGUUUGUGUCCACGCUGUUGACCAUGGCGAUGCCCCACUGGCUGCGCCACCUUGUGCCUGGGCCCUGGGGCCGCCUCUGCCGAGACUGGGACCAGAUGUUUGCAUUUG
rnacentral:lncRNA from 1 species